UACGUAGGGUGCGAGCGUUAAUCGGAAUUACUGGGCGUAAAGGGUGCGUAGGCGGUUCGUUAUGUCUGCUGUGAAAGCCCCGGGCUUAACCUGGGAAUGGCAGUGGAAACUGGCGGGCUUGAGUGUGGCAGAGGGGGGUGGAAUUCCGCGUGUAGCAGUGAAAUGCGUAGAGAUGCGGAGGAACACCGAUGGCGAAGGCAGCCCCCUGGGCUAACACUGACGCUGAGGCACGAAAGCGUGGGGAGCAAACAGG
rnacentral:rRNA from 1 species